AUUGAACGCUGGCGGCAGGCCUAACACAUGCAAGUCGAGAGAGCGGCGGCCGGGUGAGUAAUGUAUGAGGAUCUGCCUGAUGGAGGGGGGUAACUACUGGAAACGGUAGCUAAUAACGCAUACCAUAAGAUGAACCCAUAUGGGAUGAGCUAGUAGGUAAGGUAACGGCUGACCUAGGCGACGAUCACUAGCUGGUAUGCGAGGAUGAUCAGCCACACGGUGAAUGAGACACGGCCAAGACGCCUACGGGAGGCAGCAGUGGGGAAUAUUGCACAAUGGGCGCAAGCCUGAUGCAGCCAUGCCGCGUGUAUGAAGAAGGCCUUCGGUUUGUAAAGUACUUUCAGUCGGGAGGCGUUACCGACAGAAGAUGCACCGGCUAACUCCGUGCCAGCAGCCGCGGUAAUAC
rnacentral:rRNA from 1 species